UGCCAGCCGCCGCGGUAAUACGGAGGGUGCAAGCGUUAUCCGGAAUCACUGGGUUUAAAGGGUGCGUAGGCGGCAUUAUAAGUCAGAGGUGAAAGCCCCCAGCUUAACUGGGGAAUUGCCUUUGAUACUGUAGUGCUUGAAUCAGGCUGAGGUUAGCGGAAUGUGUCAUGUAGCGGUGAAAUGCAUAGAUAUGACAUAGAACACCAAUUGCGAAGGCAGCUGACUAGACCUUAAUUGACGCUGAGGCACGAAAGCGUGGGGAGCGAACAGGAUUAGAUA
rnacentral:rRNA from 1 species